UUGCAGGAUAAGUUACAAUUUAGCUGCACAGUGCUAUGUUGUCGUUCCCCCUGCAAAAAUUAAAUUGUUUCCUACUAUCCCUGUCUGUUUUGCAAUUUCACAGCAAGCAGGGACGCUUGGUCUCAAACAU